rnacentral:lncRNA from 1 species
GCAUUUAUGGAGCAGCUUGAUUCAGUGACACGGUCCACUUUACAAGCUGCAAACAUCAGCGCAGCAGUUUUACCAACUUUGUCACGUGAUGACAUUCGUGAUCUUUUCCCCGGACCAGAAAACUUUUUACGACGGAAAACCAUAUGGGAGACGUUUCAUACUGACAAGGAGGGACAUGAGGCAGGAUGCCCCAAACAAAACAAGGAGCAGGAUGACAUUGGUCUGGCUCUUGCUCAAACUCUGUCUAAAAUCCCAGUGACUACAAGGCGC